GGGGGGGGACCAUUUGUGAGUGAUGAUUCUAUUUUAAACUACUAGAAUCAUGAUUACAGUCAUAGGAUCAUGAUCACGAUAAGGCAGGGAUCAUGAUUGUUUUCAACAUCAUGAGAUUACAGAACCUGAGGCUCUAUUUAGGGAGACAAAGUCAUGGGAUUGCGAUUCAAGUGUCGCGAUCGCGACCCUAGAGACCAGGUUCAAAUCCCUUAUUUUUAUCUAUCCUACCUCUAAAUCAAUUAUACUUCACCUAUUAUCUUAUGUUUCUCAAAUAAACCUUCAGAGUGACAUAAUUGUGUGGAUUGAUAAAAAACAAACACAAAAACUAUUCUAAUAAUUAAAAUGCAAAAGAUACGAGCCAAAUUCAUGGGAAUAAUGGAUUGCCUCCUAUCCAAUUCCUAAUUUAAUAUCAUGGUACAAUGUCAUUAUAUCAUUAAGUUUGAUACUUUGGGUGAGGUGACCCAAGAUCUCUUUCUUCUUAUACAACGUCAAUCACAGACACCACUUGUAACUGUAUUGGUUGCUUUUUGGUUUUGCACACAUGGAAAGGGACUUCAUCAUCAUGUACCAAAAAAAUCUUAUAUCCAUACUUUAUACCAACUAGAGCUCUCCUAAUUUAUAAAAAUAGUCUCUUAAGUAUGAAUGGUAUCUUAUGAUCAUUAACACAAUCGAGGACUAUGAAAUCUAUCAGAAGGAUGAAUCGGUCAAUCUUAACUAACACAUCAAACUAUACGCCCAUUGGUUUUUAAUUGAACGAUCCACUAUUUAGAUUUUCAUGGAGGUUUUUGUAGGAGAACCCAACCCUAGACUUUGAUACACAACAUAAGGCAUCAAGUUGAUACUAGCACCAAGAUCACACAGGGCCUUUUCAAAUUUAUGCGUCCCGAUGGUGCAAGGGAUUAUAAAUACACCUGAUUCUUUUUUUUCUCCCCCAUGGCUAUUGACGUGAUAGAAAUACAACGAUGCAUUACUUUAAUAGUCUAACCAUCCACAAGUCACUUUUUAGAUAUCAAUUUAUUCAUAGAUUUAGCAUAUUCCAGGAUCUCUUGAAGAGCUUUUAACAAUGGGAUAUUAAUUGAGAGAUUGCUAAGUUUUGCAAGAAAAUUUGUGAACUUUUCCUUGUCAUAUUUCUUCUUUAACCUUUGUGAAAAGGGUAGAGUGAUUUUCAUUGGGUGAAAUGGAUUUCUUUGAGAUUCAUUCACCUUUUUCUCAUAACCAACAAUCACUUUAGGAAUUUCCUCCUUAUCACCCUUCUUUUAAACUAUCAUCGAUUCCUCAUCACUCACUUCAUGAAACUUUGUGGAACCAACAUUUGUCUUUUUUGACCUCUUUCUCUUUUAACUUGUUUUCUUAUCAAGAAACUUUUCAUCAACCCCAACCAUAUUUUCACCAAGAUUUCUACCACUCAUCGUGAUGAUUUCCAUAACAUGGGCAUUGUUCUUGGGAUUGACCACUAUGUCACUAGGUAAACCUCCUUUUGGCCUAGCAUUGAGUUAGGUUGAAAUUUGGCUAACUUGCAUUUCCAAUUACUUGAUGGAGGUUGAAUGAGAUGUGACCAUUUGGUUUGACUAAAUGAAUUGGAUUUUCAUCUCCCUUACCAUUUUGUUGGUACCAUCACCUCACAUUAAAAUGAAAGCAAGGACAACCUCAGUUUUAAUUUUUUUUCGGUCCACCGAGCUUGAUUCCUUAUACUGAACAUGAUCAUGAAGGGACACAUAUCUAUCAUAUCCUCUUUUCUUAUCCCUUCAAUCCCAUUCUUGAUCUUUCUCUCUAUCAUGAUAAUAAUGAUAUCGAUCUCGAUCGUUCUAACCUUGAUUCUCUUCUUACCUUUGGUAGGUGGGACGGAAACCCCACAAUUUGUUUGCCAAGAACCUUAUCUCUUAAUUGAGUUCCUUAGAUUCAUCCUCAUCAUAACUUUUGGAACCUUAAGGGGAAAUGACAUUAACUGCUUUAGAUGGUGCUCCCAUCAUAUAUUUGGUGAGGAGAUCUAAUUGGGUCAUUACUUUGGCCAUAUUUUUAUCUCUUUCCUCGUCCUUAUUUCUCUGCUCUUUAUUGACAUAAGAUGCAGUGGGAGAACCUAUGGUCACUUUGGAAUCACGGGUAUGCCACCCCAGUUUUACUUAGAGACUUGCUCAAGUAGAUUUGCUGCAACACCAUACAGUGACUUCAUAAGAAAACCACCCAAUGCAUUGUCCACCACCAUCUUAUUUAGUUAGUAUAAAUCCCUAUAAAUUAUUUAGAGGAGUAUCUUCUUUAGGACCUCACGAUUAGGGCAUAGCAUCAACUUUUCAUUAAAGCAUUGCCACACCUCAUAUAAGGGCUCUCCACUUAGUUGACAAAAAUUUGUGAUUUUAUCUCUUAUUUGUAGAAUUGUAAAAAAAGAAAAAUAUCUAUCCAAAAAGGCAUUCCAAAGUUUGACCCAAGAUGUAAUAGAUCCAGUGGAUAGAAAUCUCAACCAUAAAACUGCUUCACUCAUUAAAGAGAAUGGGAAAAUCCACAAUCAAAUAAACUCUUGAGUAAUAUGGGCUAUAUCAAAUAGAACACACACCUCAAUGAUGUUUUAAAAAUGUAGUUUUUCAUCUUCGUGUGCUUGGACCAUGAAUAGAACUUUAAUUUGUAACAUAUGUAGCAUUACAUUCCUGACAUAGAAUACUCUAUUUUUCUUGACUGUACAUAUGUAGCAUUACAUUCCUAACAUAGAAUACUCUAUUUUUCUUGACUGUUGGGAUAUGGAUUGCACUAGCAUGCCUCACAUCAUUAAGAUGGCCAUCAUCCUCGAGGUGUCCAUCAAACAAUCCUUCAUUUCUCCUUUUAUGGCUUAUGGUGUCAUGAUUACUAUGAAAAUCACCUAACAAAAGAACAAAAACAACAAACAAAGUAAACAACAGUACUAUGACUAACCUAAGUUCACAAAAAAAAUAGCAAUAGGGAAAACUAAGCUUCACUCCAUGGCAACGGUGCCUUUUUUGAUAAUGCUCAACUUACAGCAUUAUAUUGAUGCAAGGAGUUCAUUGUAAAUACAUACCCAAUAUGAGUCGGGAUCGAAUCCUCAAGGAGUGCAAGCUAGCUUUCAACACCUACGUGUGUUGAGAGUUAACUAUGUAUUAACCCAUAAUGCAAAACUAAAACAAAACAUGUAAGUAAAUUAGAGGGUUCGCAUGUUGAAAUUUGUUGAAAAUAAUCACAAAAUUAAACUAAUAUGAGGUCGAACAAUUGUUACAUUUAUCAAAUCAAUAGGGAUCUUGGGGUUAAGUUCUCCUAAGUAGUGUUCAUGCAUGGGUAAUCAAGAAUUAUUCCAUGUUUUGGUUAAAAGGGUUUAAGUAGGCUAGAUUUAGGUUCUUAGUACUAACAUUUUGAUAAAACAUUAAAUUUCUCUUAAGGAUUCUUUAAAAUAUCUCUUGAGUAUGACAAGUUUACCAAUCCAUGACCUUAAACUAAGAAUUCUUAUUUCUAAGAUGAUGCUUAUGAACAUAGCCAAUUUAAGUAACAUACUUAUUUCUAAGAUAGUACUAACAAAAAAGCUAAUUUAAGGUGUUAUUUGUAAUUAAUCUUCACAUAUAUCACUCUUUCAAGGAUGACUUGGGAUCCAAGACAAUUGGGGUUUUCAACAUAAUUCUCAGUUCAACCAUAGAGUGAAAGCUAAACCCAUAACUAUUAAUCGAGUAUUUGGACUAACAAUCAUCACCCACAUAUAAUUUACUACCUAAUAAAACAUAGCCCUAAGAUAUUGAUUUAGCUACUUAUGAAAUUAAAGAGAUGAUAUAUACCCAACUUGUCAUGCAAUUGAUCCAUAAUAAUCCAAAUAAGAGUAAACUCAAACUUCAAUCUCAAUUUACAAUCAAAAUCUCUUGGAAUUAAAUUAACAAAUUAUUUUCUCCACCCAUAAUUAGAGCGUUUUUCUCUCAAAAUUGAAAAUCAAGAGAACGAUCCCCAAAUUAUGCAAGGGUUUAGCCUUUUGUAUUUUUGGGAUUCAGCUUUGUGAAAUUCUAGUUUUCUCUUUACAAAUUUCCUCGCCUAUUGUUAUCUCCUUCUUUUGGUUGCGAUUUCAAUUUCGUGUAGUUGUAUAAUAUCUAACAGCAAUCAUGCAACUCUAACUUUGACUGAUAGCAAUCGUGACCCUUAGAUUAUGAUCGUGGCAGUUGAGGGUCACUUUCUUGACCUAAUCUUCAAAUCUUUUUCUCUUCUUUGCCACUUUACUUCUGUUCCAGCUUUUUCUCAAAUCAUUUCCAUUAUAAUCUCUACAAGACCAUAGAAUCUAGAUAUUAAUAUAUUACAAUCAAGAAUCAGUCUUAUUUACAUAAUUAAAUUAUUUUAUUAUGCAAGGAUUUGGAUGUAAAGGUGUGACAAAUUUUCCACAAAUUAGGGAUACACUUAUUCUUAUGUUUUUACUUAUUAUGUUCCCCGGUUAAAGUUAUCUAGAUAUUUAUUAUCUAUUAUUUUGCAUGUAUCUACUCCUGUGGGUGAUUCUUUAGUCGUAGAUCAGGUGUUCAGAUCCAGUAUUGUGACUGUUAGAGAUGUUGAUACUCAUGCUAAUCUUAUUGUUUUGUAUAUGGUGGAUUUUGAUGUAAUUCUGGUCAUGGAAUGGUUAUUCCACUUUUAUGCAGUAUUGGAUUAUUUUGCCAAAACCAUUACCUUAUCUAUGUUUGAUAUACGCCAAUUGUUUUGUAGGGAUCGAUUAGCCACGAGUUGAUGGGGAUUAUUUCUUACGUUUAUUCUAAAAGGGUUAUUUUUAGGGGUUGUGAUUCUUAUCUUACUUAUAUUUGUGAUACUAGUGUGGAGAGUCUGUAGCUUGACUUUGUUUCUAUAGCUUACGAGUUUCCUGAUGUGUUACCUACAGACCUUCCUGGUGUUCCACAUGUCUGUGAGAUUGAGUUUGAUAUUGAUCUUGAUCCGAGCACUCAACCUAUUUCUAUGGCGCCUUACCAUAUAGGCCCUAUCGAGCUUAAGGAGCUGAAUUAUCAGCUUCAGGAUCUUCUUAGUAAGUAUUUCAUUAGACUAAGUAUUUCUCCUUAGGGAUCUCCUGUGUUGUUUGCAAAUAAGAAAGAUGGCUACAUGUAUAUGUGUAUUGACUAUAGGCAGCUUAAUAAGCUAACGAUAAAGAACCAUUAUCCUAUCCUUUGCAUUGAUGAUUUGUUUGACCAUCUUUAGGGAGCGACUAUGUUUUCUAAGAUUGAUUUGAUAUUUUGUUACCAUCAGUUGAGGAAUAUGGCUAAGAAUAUUUUGAAGAAAGCUUUUAGGACCCGUUAUAUUCAUUAUGAGCUCUUGGUAAUGUUAUUCAGAUUAACUAAUGCCCAGACGCAUUCAUGGAUUUGAUGAACCUAGUGUUUAGACCUUACUGAGAUUCCUUUGUGAUUGUGUUCAUCAAUGAUAUUAUUUUGUAUUUAAGGGGUUGAGAGGAGCACACAUAAUAUUGUAAGAUCAUGCUCCAAACUUUAACAGAUCAUGUGCUUUUUGCCAAAUUCUGUAUGUGUGAGGUUUUAUUUGAGUCAGUGAAACUCCUUGGGCAUAUAGUGUCUAAGAAUGCUAAUAUGGUAGACCCAGCUAAGAUUGAGGUGAUUUAUUAUUGGGCUAGACCUACUUCUCUGACUGAAUUAUAGAUUUUUAUUCAUUUGGCUAGUUAUUAUAGAUGAUUCUCGAGGGAUUUGCUGCUAUUUCAAUGACUAUGACCAUAUUGGCUCAAUAGGAGGUUCCUUUUUUAUGGUCCUAGGAGUGUGAGUUGAGCUUUGGAAAGAUUAUGGAUUUUCUUACUUCAGCUCUAAUUUUAGAUCUUUCUUUUGAGGUUAAGGGAUUUAUCAUGUAUUAUGAUACUUCUGGUGUUUGUCUAUGUUGUGUUUGAUGCAGUAGAGUCAUAUUAUCACUUAUCCUUUGAGAUAACUUAAGGUUCACAAGCAUAACCACCCCACUUAUAAUUUAUAGUUGGUGGCGGUAGUUUUCACGCUUAAUAUCCUGAGGCUAUCUCUAUGGUAUGCAAUAAAAAAAUUUCAUGGAUCAUCAUAGUCUUCAGCAUCUUAUGACCCAGAGAGAGCUUAAUGCUAGACAUCAUAGAUGGAUGGAGUUCCUUAGGGAUGAUGAUGUUUCCAUAUUGUAUCAUUAGGGUAAGGCUAAUAUGGUAAUAAAUGCUUUGAGCUUUAAGACAGUGAGUAUGAGUAGCUUGACUUGUAUUUCAAUUUCUCAAAGGCUGUUGGCACGGGACAUUCAAUACUUAGCCAACUUGAUGGUUUGCCUUAAUAUAUCAAACUCCCCAGGAGGAUUCUUGCUAGCAUUGAGGUGAGGUUUUCGCUUUUUUAGCAGAUUUGAGACCAUAAGUUUGAUGAUUGUAAGCUUCAUUUCCUUUAUGAUCAGCUGUUGAGUGGUAAGUCUGAGAGAAACACCACAUAUUCUGAGGGUGUUUUGUAAUUUGAUCACCACAUUUGUAUUCCAAGGAUUGGUGACAUGAUUAAGUUAAUUCUGCACAAGGCUCAUAGCUCUAGAUAUUUUAUUCAUCUAUCCACAACUAAGAUGUAUAGAGAUUUGAGAAAGCAUUAUAGGUGGAGUCGAAUAAGAGAGAUAUAAUAGAUUUUGUAGCUCGUUACUUAUGUUUUUAGCAGGUAAAGGUCGAGCAUCAAUAACAUAGUGGAUUGAAUCAGAGAUUGCCUAUUUUGAUAGGAAAUGGGAGAGGAUUACCAUGGAUUUCAUUAGUAGUUUGCCUCAGACUUCUCUUGGUUGUAAUGGUAUUUAGGUCAUCAUUGAUCGGUUGACCUAGUUAGAGCAUUUUAUUCCUAUUCAGAUGUCCUUCAGUGCAGCGAGGUUGGACCAUAUCUAUGUGCGAGAGAUAGUCCAUUUUCAUGGUGUAUCAUAUCUAUUAUUUUUUAUCGAGGUUCUAUAUUCACCUAUAGCCUUUCGAGAGUAUUUCACGAAGAGUUAGGUACUAAGGUGGAUCUUAGUGUAACCUUCUAUCCAAAGACAGACAGCCAGUAUGAGUAGACUUUUUAGGUGUUAGAGGAUAUGCUCUAAGAUUGUGUGAUAGAUUUUGGAGGUCAGUGGGAGGAGCACUUAGACUUGGCAGAGUUCACAUAUAACAACAAUCAUUAUUCAAGUAUUAAGAUGGUUUCUUUCAAGGCUGUGUAUGGUAGGAGAUAUCAUUCUCCAAUUGGAUGGUUUGAGAAUUUUGAGAUUUGACCCCACAAUACAGAUUUGCUUCAGGAUCUGUUGGAUGGUGUCAGGGUGAUUUUGACCUAGUUGAGAGAAGCUCAAAGUAGGAAAAAGGCCUAUGUAGACCGUACACUUUAUGCCUUGACAUUUGGAGUUGGUGAUCAGGUAUUUCUCCCCAUGUCUACCAUGAAGAAGUGAUAAAGUUUGGGAGGAAGGUCAAGCUCAGCCGUAGGUAUAUUGGACUUUUCAAGAUUCUUUGCACAGUUGGUGAGGUGGUUUAUGAGUUAGACUUUUCUCCAUAUUUGAUUGUUGUCCAUCCAGUUUUCUAUGUUUCUAUAUUGUAGCAAUGCAUUCCUGAUCUAUCUCAUGUGCUUAGAUAGGACUCAGACUAGUUGGAUGAGCGGUUGACCUAUGUAGAUGAGCCGGUACUUAUUUUCUCUAGUGAUAUUAGGCAGUUUUGCACUAGGGAGAUUACUAUAGUUAAGGUUUAGUGAAGGCACAACUGAGUGGAGGAGGCUACUUAGGAGAUUGAUAGCGAGAUCCAGACCCAGUAUCCUCACUUUUUUGAGACUUUAUGUACAACCUAAUCCUUAACUUUCACGGACGAAAGUUCCUUUAGUAGUGGAUAUUAUAAUGACCCUUCAGUUUAUUUUCCAUAUUUCCACUUAUUUUUGGCCUUAGAGCUUCUUUAUAGCUGCCUGAAGUCAUUUAUGACUUGCUAGAACAGAAAGUUGAAUUAUUGGGCAGUUCAUUUGAGUUUUAGAACAUUCACUAUUUUUAAGUCUUUGUAGGUUCCAAAUGGCCACUGGACAAGAACUUUAGUUAGAAAACCUCAAAUGCAAAUUCUAACUAUUCUUGUAGCUCCAAAAUAUCAGUUUUAGGAUAGGAGGACUCUUGGUUUGAGACUUGAGGUACCCGAACUCAUUCCGGCCUAUUGGUUGGAAAGUUAAGAAAAUGGAAAUUAGGUGUGGGACCAACUUUUUGUCAAAACAACCUCGGAUGGAAAUUUUGAUUGGCCAUUGAGUCUAAAACCUUAAAUUUGGUAUGGUUACAUAGUUUGUUUGUGCAUAUAGGGUUUCGAAUAAAACCCGAGGUCUUGGUAGAGACUUAAAAAAAUUACAAGUCUUAACUGUAACUAGUGCACCAGUGAUCGUGGGCCAUGGAACGCGAUAGUGAUCUAGCAUCACCCCUAGUGCUCGAAUUUCAAAAUGUUCUACCACAAAAAUGACUCCUUGGAAAAUUGAUUAGUACUGUAAUCGCGAUUGGGGAAUGCCAUGCGACAUCUGCCCCUGAUGCUAUGUAUGGGAAUCUCAAGGCUCGAGUUGCGAUAGCAAUACUCGAGUACCUAGAAAGGGUAUAAAUACCCUAUUUUGGCCUAUUGUUACCAUUCCUUCUUCUAUUCUAUUGAGACUACAACCUUAAAUAGUGAGAUAACUUGAAACUGAGGCUUGCGAGUGAUCUAGGCAUUUGGCUAACAUAUGUUUUCAUUAUUCUUCUUCGAUUUGUGGUAAGAUUUCACCUUUUUUAUGGUAGAAUUUCCCAUUUCUUGUUUGAAAAUUUGUAAGCCUUGGAGGCUUUAUUUUAGACCCAAAUUAGCUCAAAUUUCACCCAUGUUUGAGAGAAAGACUCCUUGAUCAUGAACCGACGUUGCAUUGCUUUCAAAAAUGUGAUUUUUCAUAAAUAAGACCCACAUAGGAUUUUUUGUGUUUUUUGAACCUAAAGCACAAUAGUGCAAUACAGCUAUCAUUAUUCUUAUAUUAAUGAGUAGAAUGUGAAUUUAAUAGCUUGGAAUCUUGAGAAAACUUCUCAAAAGGGUAAAUAGUGAUUUUAUAGAUCUUCUGAACUUUUUUCUGUGUUCAAGUAGGCUAGGGUUUAUGCCUUGUUAGAUUGAGCUAAUUCACAGUAUGUUUAUGAUAUUGUGUUUGACCUUGUUGGCUCUUGUUCAGGUUGGACCCGGUGCAAGUACGGAGGGUGG
rnacentral:lncRNA from 1 species